ACGCUCGACACCUACGGGAAGCAGCAGUUGGGAAUAUUGGACAAUGGAGGAAACUCUGAUCCAGUGACGCCGCGUGAAGGAAGAAGGUCUUCGGAUUGUAAACUUAUUUUGUCAGGGAAGAAAAAUGACUGUACCUGAAGAAAAAGCACCGGCUAACUACGUGCCAACAGCCGCGGUAAUCUGAGCGGGCUGGCAAGGC
rnacentral:rRNA from 1 species